GUUACGUUCUGGUCAAAAGAUCAGUAAUAAAAGCGCCAGAACACUGAUGCAUGAUAUCUGCUUUCUCUUCUCAUUAUUUACAGUGUAUCACUGAGUGAGUACAUUUAUUUGACCCAGCUCAUUAAGAAGAGUCGAAUCUUUUGUCACCCAAACGACUCCUGAAAAAAGAUGUCCUGCAGGUCAGGUAGCUCAGUGUGGGUGGUACGUUCAGCU